AGCAGGGUAGCUGAACAUCUUACGGAUGGCCCAGGGCUCCAAAGGCUUGUUUCCUAAGUGAGAGAGAGCCCGGCUGAAGCUCUAUUACCAUUCAUUCUCUAGCCUCCGAAGUCUCAAAGCAUCACUUCCACCAUACUCUAAUUGUCAAGACAAACACAAAGUCCUAGAAAGAAUACAGUAUCGAUGUUCCUUUUAAACAAGUAUUUGAGUAAAAGCAAUGUUUCCAAUGUGUGUCAGAAAGUGAAUACUUGCAUAUUUCUGCAUGGUUAGAGCUGAGCUUUCCAAGCAAAUUUUACUGGGACCCGGUUGAAAGACAGGUCUUGGAAGUGAAAUGAUGACUGACUAGAUGACAUUACAUGUAAAUGGAAUCAUACAAUAUGUGAUCUUUUGUGACUGGCUUCUUUCACUUAGCAUAAUGUUUUCAAGAAACUGCCAGACUGUCUUCCGAAGUGGCUAUAAUAUUUACACUCCCAUCAGCAGUGUAGAUGGGGGUCUCACUACGUUGUCUGGAGUGCAGUGGCUAGAGUGGAGUGGCUAUUCACAGGAUUCUUGAAAUGGACUGUAAAAGUCUGGAGUCAAGACUUUGUGUUUCCUCUCUAACAUGUAAAGAGCUUAGAAGUUGUUGCUACUGCCCUUACAACAAAUUGAAGCUGGACAAACUGAAAAUCAAUGACUUUUCUUGGACUCACUAUAGAGCUGAGUUUGCAGAGUAAACCACUACCCUGAAAUCUGGAGAGGCAGGUGCACCCAUAGAGUCUCAGCUGAGAUCCAAUUACCUGAAAUAGAAGCUGCCAUUAGGAACACUUAAAUG
rnacentral:lncRNA from 1 species